GUGCGUGCGUGUUACUACGUAUGAGCCUGUGCAACUACAGGGCAGGAAGACGAGGGACAAAUGGAUUCCAUGUUUGCAGGAAAACACGCUGGAGGCACAGGAAAACUUUGUUGUUUAUGAAGAACACGUGAAACCAAUCAAAUCUGAAUUAUCUUCCUGUUGUUCCAGCUUUUGUCGUUUGCAGUUUUUAGUUCGCUCGCCAGCAGUGUCACCACCCAGCGAGCAGGUCUGUGCCUGUGCAUGAAAGAUGGUUAAAGGAGCUUUCCGGCUUCUAUGAAGUGAAACUGAAAGGACAGAGACUUACUUAUUUGGCUGAGCGAUGCCCCAUAAGGAUUACCUUCCCAGCUCCCAGGUUUCCAUUCCUCCACUGUCAGUGAAUGCAACAUUUCCCUGUCCCGAUGGAGGUCCGACGAGACGAACAUGCAAUAAUCCGCUCCAGUCGUCCAGAAUCAGCGGGCCUUCGGAGUCCAGGCUCGGUCCUGGGACUCUGUGGCUUUCAUCUCAAUGUGAGUCAGGAGUUGAUUCAAACAUGGAGUGAUGGGAGAAUUAACCCCUGGGACCCAGCUUUCAAUGGGCUCAGCUAAGAGAUUAUAUGUGUUGAUGGCAGGCUUUUAUAUGCACUGGGCUUUCAAAACUUCAACUGUUAAAUCAAGGCACAGGAUCUUCACCUUAUGUCUUUAGUAUACGUACCCCCUCUCCUGCCUCCCGGCACCUCAUGUAUCAGCUUUCUACCCUGAAACUGUGCGUGAGACUGAGUAACAUUUCCUCUGAAGUGACACGGCCCACAACUUUACAAAUUAUACUGUACAUAUUCAGAGCCGGAGGACUCUCAUCAGACUGCCACUGGGAGUUUACGUUCGAUGUGCAGCCUCAGAUUCCCAUGACUGUCACUGAGCCUUUGGGAUUCAAGCUCUUUUUUAAGUGCAUGUGAAGAUAUGUGAAAUAGUGCUUGAGAGGAAGUGCACAGACGUGAAUGGAGGAACAGAAACACGCAGUUGGUGUGAGAUGAAUUGGAUCAUCCUCAAGAUUGUAAUUAAUUUGAGUUUGAAGCACAACAUCUUUGGUGGUCCUCGCAGGCUUCCAAAAGACGGCAAAGAGGGAAAAAAAGAAAAACUAAAAUCCCUGUCCGUUUUCGCAGACUUGAACAACAUGUUGCAUGCAUCCUUUGGUUUCAACAUCCAUGCCGAAGCCAAAGGAUGUUUUUGCAAAACAAGAAGCCACACGCCUCAAAUGUGACUGACACAAGGGAAGUUAAGAGGAGGAAGAAAACAAAAGAUUAGACAACAAGUAACAGUAAAUAAGAGAACACAGAACAAGAGACAACUAAAGUUACUGGUUUGCAUUUCCAUUUCCUCUGAUUCAGAAGACUAUGGCGUCUGGCUUAACCUCCUUCUGCCUGACCUGUUACAUUUCAACCCUCACUUUCCUGGAAAUGCUCCCUGCUGAGACUGUUCAUACGUCUUCAAGGCCUGAGCCAACUAGCAUUUAAAACAGCUACAUUUUGUGGUGAAAUUUCAAUAAAAUGAUCUCAUCCAUGCAAAUUAUUUGCGUCAAGAUUAACUUUGCACCAUAAUAGCAAGCCGUCUUGAGAGGGCUGACCUUUUAGAGAACAGAGAGCCAGAGAAUCAAAAAUGUAGGAAGCUAUCGUAACGUGUUAGCACGUGCGCUGGAUGAUCACUUUUAGGAUAACCUGCACUAUAAAAGAGACAAGGUUUAGACCAAAGUCAAUGGUAUAAAUAUGUCCCUUAAUUGAAUAAAUUGUGUGAAUUUAUUGUCUCAUAAACGACUGAGCUAAUUAGCUUGCUAACUGACAGUUAGCAUGUCCGCUAGCUCAGAAAGAGUUCUCCUCUUCGUCUUUAUUGAAUAAAAUGACGUACAAUUCUGAAGAAAAAAAAAUGCCAGGGGCAAU